GGAUACAAGGCAUAUGUCGAUAUAUGUAAAUGAACAUAAUUGGAGUAUUUGAUAAAUAUUGCUGUUGUUUCAAUAGUGCAAAAACGUUCAAUCUCAAUCUGUGGGAAAAUGAUUAAUUUUGCCCCAAAAUCUAUUGGUGCCAAAUACGAUGGAUCAUCUAUGGUUUGUGGCAUGAUUUUGCCAAACAUGAAGCAUUGGUUGCCAAAGGAUUACAACGAGGUUCGAUGCAUCAUUGAGGGCUUGCCCGAGAGCAUUCAAACCAUGGGAAAACUGCGUGUGAUGGUGUAUAAAAGCGAGUGCAGCAAAGAGUUCUUCUUCUGUUCCACUGACACUCCCCGGUCGCUGCGGAAAUCCUUCCUUAACGCCGAGUUGAACGUGAACCAAACUACUGCGUUUAUAAACGGCACGUGCGCAUACUUUGAAUUCAAUAUGCAAGAAAAGAAAGCCACGAACGUCCAACUGAAAAUUGCAAGAUGCAAAGAAGUAGCUUAUAUGAUUUGCGAACACGACGAUUGAA